UACGGGGGGGGCAAGCGUUGUUCGGAAUUACUGGGCGUAAAGGGCUCGUAGGCGGCCAACUAAGUCGGAUGUGAAAUCCCCAGGCUUAACCUGGGAACUGCAUCCGAUACUGGAUGGCUUGAAUUCGGGAGAGGGAUGCAGAAUUCCAGGUGUAGCGGUGAAAUGCGUAGAUAUCUGGAGGAAUACCGGUGGCGAAGGCGGCAUCCUGGACCAACACUGACGCUGAGUGAGCGAAAGCCAGGGGAGCAAACGGG
rnacentral:rRNA from 1 species